GAGUGAGAGAGUCACAGAGAGAGAGAGAGAGAGAGGGGGCUAAAGCUAAGGCUAAGCUUUGGAGAGAGAGAAGAGAGAGAAGAGAGAGAAAGUAGACAGAAAGGACUUGGAAAAUAAAGAAAAAAAAAAAACUCUGUUUCCGUUUUACUCUGGAAAAACAGUGGAGCUCGAAGCUUCGAGGAUCUGGGACGGGAAGAAAUGGCGUCCUCAGAGAGAGAGCUCGAAGAACAGCUGAAGGAAGCUGGGGAGAGACUCGUUCAUCCUUCUCCUAAUGUCGAUGAACUCCUCCCUCUUCUCGACCAAGUUGAGAAUUGCCUAUCAAGGGUAGAACAGUCGCCAUCAAAAUCAAUGCAAAAUGCACUUUGCACCUCUAUGAAGGCACUGAUUGCUGAUGAUCUUCUGAGGCAUUCAGAUAUUGAUGUCAAAGUUGCAGUCGCAUCUUGCAUUAGUGAGAUCACGAGAAUAACGGCACCAGAUGCUCCUUAUGAUGAUGAACAAAUGAAGGAGAUAUUUCAGUUGAUAGUUGGUGCAUUUGAGAAAUUGUUUGAUACUACUAGUCGUUCAUAUUCUAAGAGAGUUUCGAUACUUGAAACUGUGGCAAAGGUUCGAUCAUGUGUUGUAAUGCUGGACCUUGAAUGUGAUGCUCUGAUUCUUGAGAUGUUCCAACAUUUCUUGAAAGCUGUAAGGGAUGACCACCCAGAAAAUGUCUUUUCUGCCAUGGAGACAAUUAUGACCCUUGUGUUAGAGGAAAGUGAAGAUAUAUCAGUGGAGCUUCUUUCUCCCCUCUUAGAUAGUGUCAAAAAGGAAAAUAAGGAUUUUUUGCCUAUUGCACAAAAACUUGGGAAGAAAGUAAUUGGAAACUGUGUAGCUAAGCUUAAACCGUACAUGGUUGAAGCAAUAGACUCGUUGGGCGUUUCUAUUAAUGAUUACAGUGACAUUGUGGCUUCUAUAUGCCGUGAGACAUCUGAUGCUGCUGAAUGCAAUAAAGCCAAUGCAUCAGGCGAACAUCCGGCAGAUGAAAGCAACAAAUUGUUGGAGAAGGCUGGUGCAGAUGAGCCACCUCAGGAGGCUAAUGAACUCCCAGCAGAAGUGACCGGUUCUGGAUCUCUGGAUCCUGCUAUGGAUAAAUCUCCCAAGUCAGUGAUGAGCAAUGGUAAUGCUCAACAUGGAAAUGAUGAUUCUUUAACAGAUCCAAGUUCCCCAAAAAAGAAGCCUGAACGUUCCCGUCGUACUAAUCAAGCUAAAAGUACUGAUGGAGCAGCGAAGACUGAACCUGAUAGUUUGGAUUCUGAGAAGGUAGUCAAACCAGAAACAAAGCCAGAUAAAGCUACGAGGAAAACAAGGGGUAGGAAAGCUAAUCCUUUGAUGACUUCUACGGAAGGUUCUGACCAUUCUCGGAUUGAUCAUGUGAAAGGAUCUGUAGAGCUGCCUGAUCGGAGGAAGAGUCGCACAAAGGAAGCUGAUAGUGCAACUUCCGGUGGCCCUUCUACAAAGGAUGUGACUGUGUCAUCUGAAGCAGAGAAGGAGAGUCUGGCACAGGCUUCCUCUCCAGCAGCAUCGGCUAGUGAGCCUAUAAAUGUCGCUUCAUCACCAACUCAGACUACUGAUGGAACUCGCUCCAGGAAGGGACGCCGGGGGUCAGAGAAGAAAGGAAGCAGAAACCAAGACGCUGCACCUGGUUCGCCACCAAAGGGAGAUUCAUUGAGUGAUCAUGGUGAAGAUGAAACUACGCCUUCUGCUGCCAAAAAGAAAUCAGAGGGCAUGAGUGACUCUGAAGCAAAACAACAUAAGCGCACAGGGAAAAAACUUCUUGCUGGGAAUGUCAAUGAGAAAACUCCAACUCCAGUUGAUACCGUCUCAAAGAAGGAAUCUGGAGCCACAAAAGAUUCAGAUGUUAAGUCGCUGAGGAAGUCCGGUAAGAAGGUAGAUGGAAAAAAUACCAAUGUAGAUGAAUCAUCAAGAAAACAACAGGGGGGUAAAAACAAGAGAGGCAGGGGCAAAACUGUCUCUGACAAGGAUGUUGUUGAAGAAUCAAGUAAGAAGGUUAAAGAUUUUUCGCCGAAGUCUGCCACAAAGUCAUUGAAUAAAGAUGAAAGUCAAGUUGAAGAUACCCCAAAGAUAUCUUCCAAGCGAAAACGCACUCCGGGGAAGGAAGAGCAUGGUGCUAUAGAUUAUGAUGAGAGUCUGGUUGGUUCAAAGGUUAAAGUUUAUUGGCCACAAGAUCGUCUGUUCUAUGAAGGUACCAUUUCAGCUUUUGACCCUGUUAAAAUGAAACAUAAGGUUUCCUACACUGAUGGGGAUGUGGAAUUAUUGAAUCUUAGUAAGCAGAGGUGGCAGUUCAUUAAAGAUGAUGAUGUGGCAGGGGAACAAGAAACUGAUCUUCCAAGUCCUGAUGCUUCUGAUGACAUGCACCGAAAGAAGAAAGCAAAAACAAAUUCGGAUUCAUCGACCAUGCAAGGAGUGACGGAUGGUUCUGCUAAAAGGGCUAGAGGAGUUUCGACCAGCAAAUCCAAAAGUGAAGCUGCAAAGUCUGGUGGUAAACCGAAGGAAGAUGUUAGACACAGCAGCAAAUCCAAAGAUGACAGCCCUAGAACUGUCAACAAAUCCAAGGUUGAAACCCCCAAAACUGGUAGCAAAUUGAAAGAAGAUGCCCAGAAGUUAGGGAGCAAAUCCAAGGAUGACACUGCCAAGAUCAAAUCCAAGGAAGAUACAACCAAAAGAAGCAUAAAGUCUAAGGGUGAAACCCCAAAAACUGGUGGCAAAGCCAGUGCUAAUGGAACUACUGCCAAAGCGAAAUCCAGUUCAUUGAAGCUACAAGAAAAUGAAGAUUCCAUGAUGGGGAAAUCAGAUUCUGCAAAAGCACAAGAAAGUGAGACAAAAAGUGGGAAGAAGCGAGCGAGGAAGAUCAAUGGCUGAUGAUGUUAACUUUGACCUGAUUCUUGAGGCGGGUAACCGGUUAUCUUGUCUCCAGUGUUUUCUAAGCAGAAAAACUCUGGCCGGAAGGAGCUUUUACAGGAGCAGCUGGUGUUUGACACCACCUAAACCGUGUCAUACAAAUUGGAAGAUCCUGUAGCCACAGUAUGGGCCCCCCUUGACAAAGUCUUGAGACAUGCUCAAAAGAAACAAAUGAGAAACUACUACAUAGAACUAGAAUAUCAUCUACAAUACACCGAGGCCCAGCCCAAGCUGGAGUCCUUUUGUUGGCAAGGAAGGCAAUCAGAAACAACACAGCAAGGAAAUCUGCAAACAGCCCACCAAAACCAUAGCAUGUCAAAUAGCUUACACCAAUGCUGUAGACAAAAACCCACAACAGGCCUCACAACAAGCCGGUCAUUACCAUUAAGAAGCAAGCUACAGCAUCUCAAAUUGCUUUGGGGUUCGUGUACGAUGCUACGGAGGGACUGAACCAGGGUGUAAGCCAGUAAAGUUACACCCAGUAAAGAGAUUCUCCAAUGAGUGAAAAAGAAAAUAAAAAAAAGAAUGUAAGUUGGGGUUAACGAACUCGAAAAAGAAUUUAUUCUACGUUUUCCAAAUCUGCCAGCAUAAAGAUGACCAAGUAAGGUUGAUAUAAGAACUGGUAGGGACAUUUUGGAAGUAACUGAUCAGAAAAUGAAUCCAAUCCCUGAAGUUGACCCCGGUAAAGCCACGAGUGUCGAUACGAAAGGGAGAAAAUUGCCACAGUAUGGCAAGGGCAUCAACACAGCAAAAUGAAGGUUUUGAUCCGAGGAGGGAGAUCUUGAGGCUAAGGCCAUGUCCAAAAUUGGUUUUGAGAGGGAGAUGGAUUGGAAACUUGUUUGUAGAAAGCCAGGAAUGGGCAGAUUUGAUACGGCAACAAUGAAAAUGCCCCCUCUUUAGUGAGAUUAUAUGAGCAAAUGCCAAAAUAUGUUAUUGCUAUGGGAGCCUGUACUAUUGCGGGAGGGAGAGAGAGCUGGUCUUUGACGGACCCAAAUCCACUUGUCAUUGGCCUCCGUGAUCGGGAGUGGAAGGCGAGCAAUUACCACAGAUUCGGGCGCUGGAUAAAGGCUAGAGACUAGCUGAAAGUCCCAUUCCUUGAUAGGGUAGUGGAUUAAGCUAGACACAAACUCCGAGCGAUUAUCUGGGAGAUUACUGGUGAUACACCCCUCGGAUUGAGGGAAUACAGGCAGACACGAAAGUACUAGUGCUGCAGCCAUUGCCAAUGCACCUAUGGAGCCUUUGAAUCCAUGAAGAAUACAAUGCUAGCAACGCAAAAAAUGGUCCUAUGCACUUAGGAUGACUUGCACAAGAAAAGGGAUGACUUGCACAAGAAAAGAGACGGGGAGAGUUGGGCUGUUCCAGUGGGAAAUUCUUUGAUGCAUAAGUUAGAUUUUGUUAGCAAUAGAUUCUCAAAGAGAGUUUUAAUAUCAAGUGACCGCUCCCCUGUAAGGGGUGUGCAUUAGUAUUUAUAAGCAAUGGCCGAUGGAUGUAGCAGUUAUGGAGAGUCCCUCUUUGACGAGGAGUCCAUUCUAGGUAGGAUAUCUCAUGGGAGAGUUCUAUUAGGCAAGUUGCCUUAUCUGGUUAGAAAUUCAUGUUUGGACGGAUCUUUUAGAGAUUGCCUUUGUGAGCUCCAAGCGUAAGAUUUGCUUUCGAUGGUCCUUGAUUCUUGGGAUUGCGUCGGUAAGCUAGUUGAGGUGGGGUUAGUUGUUCAAGUUCAACCCUGUUCGGGUCAUACCUUGUUCAACUCACCCUGCUUAGUUGGUAAAUAGCAAUUGUAUGUAUGGAUCUUCUCACUUGUAAGGCCACAUGUUGAUGCCUGAUUGAUGGGCGGUAUUUUUACCUCAUCAUAAGCCCCCUAGUCCUUCGGGUCGAGGUUUGUAGGUCGGUCUGCAGGAGUGCAACAAGCUAGAAUUCUAGGCUACGACUAGGUCGUGGAUCUUUGAUUCAAUCAAGAUAUCUUUGCUUAUUUA